rnacentral:rRNA from 1 species
CAGCCGCCACGGUAAUACAGAGGGUGCGAGCGUUAAUCGGAUUUACUGGGCGUAAAGCGUGCGUAGGCGGCUUCUUAAGUCGGAUGUGAAAUCCCUGAGCUUAACUUAGGAAUUGCAUUCGAUACUGGGAAGCUAGAGUAUGGGAGAGGAUGGUAGAAUUCCAGGUGUAGCGGUGAAAUGCGUAGAGAUCUGGAGGAAUACCGAUGGCGAAGGCAGCCAUCUGGCCUAAUACUGACGCUGAGGUACGAAAGCAUGGGGAGCAAACAGGAUUAGAUACCCCUGUAGUCCCUGUCUCUUAUAU